rnacentral:rRNA from 1 species
AUCGGAGUCUGCAACCCGACUCCGUGAAGCUGGAUUCGCUGUAAUCGCGCAUCAGCCAUGGCGCGGUGAAUACGUUCCCGGGCCUUGUACACACCGCCCGUCAAGCCAUGGGAGCCGGGGGUGCUUGAAGUGCGUCGCCGCAAGGCGCGCCCUAGAGCAAAACCGGUGACUGGGGCUAAGUCGUAACAAGGUAAC